UUUUCGUAUAAGAUUUGAGUUCAGGCCGGUAAUUGGAGCUCGUCGAAACCAGGCUGACUUAGCUGAGUCAGCGAGGCAAUUAGUGAAUUUUAAAAUUGCCACAUUAGAUCUGAUUAUGGAAACAAAUUUUAUCAUAUAGCUGGAGCUUCGGAUCUUUGUGCAUCUUGCAAACUGUUAGAGCAUGUUGAAUGCAUUCAAGGCUGGUGGGAAUUUCCAUUCAAGGAUGGCAAUGAAUAUGUACCCACAUAUUCGUAAGGUUGUAGAGGAAAAAAGGGUGCUGAUUGAAUGGUACCCUCAACCCAGGGAAGACAAACCUCCAGUUCCUCUAUUAAAAAAAGGAUGCCUUUGCUUUUGAGAGAUGAAAAGCGAAAAUGCUCAACUUCACUAUUGCAUAUGGGAAAACUCUUGUUGCCUGGCCCAUGAUUGGAAGUGACGCUACCAAAGAGCAUGAAGGCAAAUGGGGUAUGAAAUAAUUAACAAAGGAUGCGUUUAGUAGCAGGGUGCAUGUAAGAGUUGUUGGAGCUUGCUAUUCCUUCAUUGUUGUUGAGAUGAUUAUACUUAUAUGUAUAUAAUAUGGAAUAAUGUCUAUGGUUA